GAAGGGGGAGGAGGAAUGUUACCUCUCCCAUCAACAGCCCAGAAAACUUUGCGUUGCUGCUUCAGUGCCCCUCAGACAGGCUCCGCUGUGGGUACGCGCCUUCCUCCACUCCGCAACUUCUCUGAGCAGCACUGAUUUUUCCUCUUCCUCUCCCCCCCCUCAAGUCCCACUUGUUUCCGUGAGCUCCAGAGGUGCGUCCCAAAGCAAAACCGCACUUAAUUACCCAGCUUCUUGAAGAUGCCUUCGCUGCGAUACAGGAACCCGGGGACACACAACAACCCGCGUACAGCAUCCAGCAAAGCAAACACGGACGCUGUGCCACCAGCUCCUCCGCUUGCAGCGCGGAGCCGGGCUUUGUGGCUGUGGGGGCCGAGCCGCGGCGGAGGGCGGUGCGGUGCCGCCCCGCUCCAAACUUCGCACCAAUCCCCGGGAGCUCCCGCCCAUCCCCGCCGGCCCGCGCCGCGCCGCUGCUCCCCUUAACCCUUCGCGGGACCGGCCGAGGGCGAGAAGCGCGGCGGCCCGCGGAGCUCCGGCGCAGCCCGACCCGCAGACAGCGACCCAGUGCCGAGACCCCCUGGUACCCCGCGGUGCCGGCCCUGAGCCCCGCUAUAUCCCAGAGCAUCCUCUCCCUUAACCCUGCAUCCUCUGGAGCGCACCGUAACCCCAGUGGUGGUGGAGAUACCCCCCCCCCCCAC